AGGAGUCGAGGGAGAAGAAUCGAUUGACUCUCCCAUCCACUUCUCAUUCACACACAGAGAGAGACAGAGGAGGGGAGAGAACUGGUGUUGCGUGAGUGCUCUCCUCCAGUUUACGAUUCUGAAGUUUCUUCUCUUGGAACUGUUUGUUGCUCCUGUCACUUCUUCUGGUGCUGCUCCGGCUCCUGCUCCAUUGCCAUGGGAGAAAGACAAAGGAGGGGAGAGAACUCAGACCAGACACAGUGACUGUGCGUGUCACUGUCAUUUAGGGUUUGUGGGUUUACGCGAGUGCUCUGUUGGGAUCAACAAACCUUAUAUCGUUCAUCUUCUUCGGGUUGGAUGUUCAUCUGAGAGAAUCGAAAGAAUCCCAUUCCCAUGUUUGUUCGUGGGUCUGCGUGAGUGCUCUGUUGGGAUCAACAAACCUUACCAUCGGCCAUCUUCUUCCCAUAACUUGAGAUUAAGGGUCUUCUGAAGGAACAUUUAAAUGGAAAGAUAGUCAGAGGAUCAAGUGAGAAAUUUGAAUCUAGUGCAUCAGUAUAACUAAUUUCUUGCAAUUUUGACGAAAUGGUAGUUAAAAGUAAAGAUCUUUGGAUCAUCAAGUUCUUCGCACCAUGGAAAGUGUUUAUCAUUUAUAAUGACUUUAGUUGGUUCCACAAGGUAAUCAUAGGAUUGCAUCACACUCUGUACUCUAGGGUCAUUGCAAGGGUCAACUAGCCUUUUUUUACAUCUCUAUUAGUGAAAAUUAUGUAAUAACUUCUUUAAUGCUCCUAAGGUGAGCACUACUGCACAAGAUUUGCAGGACUCACAAUUUAAUGCUCCUAAGGUGAG